UACGUAGGGCGCAAGCGUUGUCCGGAAUUAUUGGGCGUAAAGAGCUCGUAGGCGGUUUGUCGCGUCUGCUGUGAAAACCUGAGGCUCAACCUCGGGCCUGCAGUGGGUACGGGCAGACUAGAGUGCGGUAGGGGAGAUUGGAAUUCCUGGUGUAGCGGUGGAAUGCGCAGAUAUCAGGAGGAACACCGAUGGCGAAGGCAGAUCUCUGGGCCGUAACUGACGCUGAGGAGCGAAAGCAUGGGGAGCGAACAGG
rnacentral:rRNA from 1 species